CAUACAGGUGUUGUUUUGUUUCGGUCUUUCUUUCUCACACAAUCUGGGAACCACACACACAAACCAUUCCCUUCUCUCACUACGGCAAUGACCACCCAAGCUUCCACCUUCGCCGUCGCCGUUCCCUCCGUCGCAACCCCUUUCCGCCGCCACCGGAAUCCCUUCGUUGUUCGAGCCCAAGCGGAACCUUCAGAUAAAUCCGUUGAAAUUAUGAGGAAGUUCUCAGAGCAAUACGCCCGUAAGUCAGGAACAUACUUUUGUGUUGACAAGGGGGUCACUUCUGUUGUUAUCAAGGGGUUGGCUGACCAUAAAGAUACGUUGGGUGCACCACUGUGCCCUUGCCGGCAUUACGAUGAUAAAGCUGCUGAGGUUGCACAAGGAUUUUGGAAUUGCCCUUGUGUUCCCAUGAGAGAGAGGAAGGAGUGCCACUGCAUGCUAUUUCUCACACCUGAUAACGAUUUUGCUGGCAAUGAACAGACUAUCACCUUGGAUGAAAUUAAAGAAUCAACAGCCAACAUGUAGCACAGAUUAUUGUGUAUUGAGUUACUUGUCCGUUGUUACAGGCUGUAUGUUUUGAAAGACAAGUGAAAAGAAAAGUGUAACGAUAAGUAGAUGCAAAAAACGCAGCUUUGUUUUAGCUAGUUUUGUUUUAAGUUUCAUAUCUUUACCAUCAGUAAAACCAACACAACCGAUGAAUAGUAUGCAUGACAAGGAAAUCUUUAGUAUGUUUCUAUGAACAAGGAUGUACAUUGAAAAGUGAUAUAUUUAUGAGCUUAUUUUAUAUGGGUAA